GCCGCGUGUGUGAAGAAGGCCUUAUGGUUGUAAAGCACUUUAAGCGAGGAGGAGGCUACUGAGACUAAUACUCUUGGAUAGUGGACGUUACUCGCAGAAUAAGCACCGGCUAACUCUGUGCCAGCAGCCGCGGUAAUACAGAGGGUGCGAGCGUUAAUCGGAUUUACUGGGCGUAAAGCGUGCGUAGGCGGCUUUUUAAGUCGGAUGUGAAAUCCCCGAGCUUAACUUGGGAAUUGCAUUCGAUACUGGGAAGCUAGAGUAUGGGAGAGGAUGGUAGAAUUCCAGGUGUAGCGGUGAAAUGCGUAGAGAUCUGGAGGAAUACCGAUGGCGAAGGCAGCCAUCUGGCCUAAUACUGACGCUGAGGUACGAAAGCAUGGGGAGCAAACAGGAUUAGAUACCCUGGUAGUCCAUGCCGUAAACGAUGUCUACUAGCCGUUGGGGCCUUUGAGGCUUUAGUGGCGCAGCUAACGCGAUAAGUAGACCGCCUGGGGAGUACGGUCGCAAGACUAAAACUCAAAUGAAUUGACGGGGGCCCGCACAAGCGGUGGAGCAUGUGGUUUAAUUCGAUGCAACGCGAAGAACCUUACCUGGCCUUGACAUACUAGAAACUUUCCAGAGAUGGAUUGGUGCCUUCGGGAAUCUAGAUACAGGUGCUGCAUGGCUGUCGUCAGCUCGUGUCGUGAGAUGUUGGGUUAAGUCCCGCAACGAGCGCAACCCUUUUCCUUAC
rnacentral:rRNA from 1 species